rnacentral:lncRNA from 1 species
UCUUCAUUAAGGAUGGUAUUUAAGGCAUUGGAUUGGAUUAAAAUACUGACUAAAGUAUUUUUAUUGAAAUUGCGGUUAUUCAACAAAAAAAAUAAAAAACAAUGGAUUGAUUGUCUGAAAAUAUGGAGGGUGAUAAUUUACAUUCAAUCAUUCUUCAACAUGAAGGUAGAUGGGAUAUCACGGUUAUUCUUUUGUCUUCAAUCAUAAUCUCUCAAAUAAUUUUGAUAUUUACGAUGAAAUAUUCUAUUAUAAUAAUCUAUUAAGUAUUUUAAUUGAAACUAAAGUUAUUCAAAACGUAAAAAAUGAAAAAGACAGAGAAAUUUUCUCAUAAUAUGGAUGAUGAUAAUUUACAUUCAAUCAUCAUACAACAUGCAGGAAGUUGUAAUAUCACAUGUAAUUUCAUUCAUUUUCAAUAUUCAAAUUCUACCAAAUCCAUACAUAAAAUUAUGUUGAUUUAAUUAUAUUUUAUUUUUUGUAUUUAUUUAUAAAGUACAUAUGCAAGUUUCAAAUUCAAAAAAAAUAUUUAUUAUUAAAAAACACAAUACCAUGACCUGAUUAAUGUGAUUGUAUAUUGGUGUGGAAGUAUAUUUGAAUCAAGAAAAGCUGAAUAAAAAUUUCUUCAUCAAGUAUCCAUUAUGUAUAAAAUUGAGGGAUAUGACUAUGGAUAUAAUAGUGUGAUGCCGAAUUCAUUGUCGAUGAAAACAAUUUACAUUAAACUAAAUAAAUUUGAGAGAUAAAAGAUCUAUAUUCAGAUAAUUGCAUAGGGCCA